GUGGGGAAUAUUGGACAAUGGGCGCAAGCCUGAUCCAGCAAUGCCGCGUGCAGGAAGAAGGCCUUCGGGUUGUAAACUGCUUUUGUACGGAACGAAACGGUCCGGGUUAAUACCCUGGGCUAAUGACGGUACCGUAAGAAUAAGCACCGGCUAACUACGUGCCAGCAGCCGCGGUAAUACGUAGGGUGCAAGCGUUAAUCGGAAUUACUGGGCGUAAAGCGUGCGCAGGCGGUUUUGUAAGACAGGCGUGAAUUCCCCGGGCUCAACCUGAGAAUUGCGCUUGUGACUGCAAGGCUGGAGUGCGGCAGAGGGGGAUGGAAUUCCGCGUGUAGCAGUGAAAUGCGUAGAUAUGCGGAGGAACACCGAUGGCGAAGGCAAUCCCCUGGGCCUGCACUGACGCUCAUGCACGAAAGCGUGGGGAGCAAACAGGAUUAGAUACCCUGGUAGUCC
rnacentral:rRNA from 1 species